AGAGUUUGAUCCUGGCUCAGAUUGAACGCUGGCGGCAUGCCUUACACAUGCAAGUCGAACGGCAGCAUGAUCUAGCUUGCUAGAUUGAUGGCGAGUGGCGAACGGGUGAGUAUACAUCGGAACGUGCCCUGUAGUGGGGGAUAACUAGUCGAAAGAUUAGCUAAUACCGCAUACGACCUGAGGGUGAAAGUGGGGGACCGCAAGGCCUCAUGCUAUAGGAGCGGCCGAUGUCUGAUUAGCUAGUUGGUGGGGUAAAGGCCCACCAAGGCGACGAUCAGUAGCUGGUCUGAGAGGACGAUCAGCCACACUGGGGCUGAGACACGGCCCAGACUCCUACGGGAGGCAGCAGUGGGGAAUUUUGGACAAUGGGCGAAAGCCUGAUCCAGCAAUGCCGCGUGUGUGAAGAAGGCCUUCGGGUUGUAAAGCACUUUUGUCCGGAAGGAAAUGGCUCUGGUUAAUACCUGGGGUCGAUGACGGUACCGGAAGAAUAAGGACCGGCUAACUACGUGCCAGCAGCCGCGGUAAUACGUAG
rnacentral:rRNA from 1 species